GCUGUGUGGUGAACGGUCUGCCAGAAAAGGAAGGCAGCCUGAACCCCUGCCGGAACGCCCGGCCUCCGCUCCGGGGUCAUCCGAGUACGUUCUUUAUAACCCUGAAUAUUGUUUUUUCUAUGCUUUGUUCUCCAACCGGAACCUUACUCAGAGUAAGGUUUGAAUUGGAAAAGACCAUGUUUUUCUGGUGAAUGUGAAUUUUAAAGAUUUCUUGGAGUUCCCAUCGUGGCGCAGUGGUUAACAAAUCCGACCAGGAACCACGAGGUUGCGGGUUCGAUCCCUGGCCUCGCUCAGUGGGUUAAAGAUCCGGCGUUGCCAUGAGCUGUGGUAUAGGUCACAGACAUGGCUUGGAUCCCGCGUGGCUGUGGCUCUGGUGUAAGGCCAGCCGCUACAGCUCUGAUGAGACCCCUAGCCUGGGAACCUCCAUGUGCCGUAGGAGUGGCCCUAGAAAAGGCAAAAACGACAAAAAAAAAUUUUUGCUCUGCUGACUUUCCAAAUGUGUGACCUGCUCUAGAGGUUUGGCUUUCUGGAGUUCCCUCGUGGCUCAGCAGGUUAAGGAUCCAGCAUUGUCACUGCUACGGCUCCAGUUACUGCUGUGGCGUGGGUUCAGUCCCCGGCCUGGGCACUUCAGUGUGCCGCAGGUGCAGCCAAAAUAAGACUCGAUGACAUAAUACAUAUAGAACACUUAGUAGAGGGACUGACUGCUAAUCACGCACAUGGCAGCUGCUAUUAUUAUUUUUAUCACUAUUAGUAACGGAAACAUCUUCCCUGUCUCUCUAAACAUUUCCCUCUCUGUAAUAUGGCCAAAAGAAAUCCUGCCUCUCUUGAUCAAAAUUCCCUUUACAUGACCUCCCAGUUGCAGUCAAGCUAAUUUCCUGUUUUACGAGGCUCCUGUACUUCACCCGUCCCAUGCCGUGCACCUGUACCCCCUGCCGGACCUGUCUGUGCUCCCCUUUCGCCAUCUCAGACAAAUGCCAUAUUUGUCCAAUGUCCCUUGUCCUCCGUGAAACAUCGCUUACCACGUCAACUAGCCAGGAUUCCCUCUUCCUCUAAAGAUACCGUCUUUUACGACCUAAACCACUUGCUCGAGAAUUAAUCACAAAAACCGCCUCGUGCUUGGCGGCAUUAUAAAUUACCACCAGAGUGCCUUCACAUCUCCCGAAAGGCUGCUCUGCUGGCAGAGGCUCUGCUAAACUGCUUCCUCUCCUCCUUCAGCGCCUAGCAUGGAAUGGGGGUUCAAGAAACGCACUUUUUAAAAACUUUGCCUGGGAACAAACCUAACUCCAGCCUUAGAGAAAAGGCUCCACUACAGGUUUCUCGGGGCCUGUGCUCUAAGUAUUUUUUACACGCCUGGUUUUCCAAGACUUGGUACCGAAACAGAAUGUAAAAGCUCUCAUAUUACAUGUUGAAACAGUAGUAAUGUGGAUAUAUUAGGUUCAAUGAAAUAGAGUAUUAAAAUGAAUUUCACACGUUUCUUGGGACAUUUUUAACGUGACUACUAGCCAAUUUCAAAUUCUAUAUGUGGCACACAUUCUAUUUCUAGCGCAACUCACUGCUGUGGUCCUUUGAAAAUAUAAAGCGUGUGAACACACUGAUAAUUAGAUGCACUCAUUAUUUUAUCACUGUUCUGUUCAGAGAACACCUACAACAAGCUGCUGGGGUUUGAAUCUCGUGUCUGUUCUGAUCAAGCCCUGUAGCUGUGAACCGUUCACUGGUCCUUGGAGAGGACGGGAGCUCCCGAUGCACACGCCGGAUGGGGACCGGUCGGCAAGGAAUGUGCUCCGGUCAGGCCAUCUCUUCCCGGCUGAGUAUGUUUUUGUUAUUAAUGAAGAAGUUUGAAAGCUCCCUGGUGAAAUACUAAAAUGAAAUACGGUCAAGUGGUUUGCGCAUGCGAGCAGGGAGGGUGGUGAAGGAAUAAUUUGGAUGAUCAGUGUUGGAUAAUGAUAUUGCUUUUAAGGCAGUAGCUGGGGAACGAAAGCGCUUCCCUUGAUCAGAAAUCACUCGGGAGCUCUUGGUACAUUCAGAGAGGCCAUUUGUACCUUUAUACCCACAGAGGCUCCAAAACCUGUCUACUUAAUUAGAACCUCGUCUUUGUCACCGCGUUCUUCGAGCCCAGGAAGCUCUGCAUACAAGGUCUAUAGGUGCUGUGCCUUCGCAAGGGACUCAAGUGACCCUGCAGAGCAAGGAUAAGGGACCGACUGUUAUGGUAUAGUAUAUCAUAGCAAAGGACAAGGAGGAUGAAAAGGUGAAGGAAAACAGGAGGAGGAGGGUUCUCGUUGUGGCUCAGCAGGUUAAGAACCCAACACCGUGUCCGUGAGGACGCGGGUUCUAUCCCUGGCCUCGCUCAGUGGGUUAAGGAUCUCAAGGUGCUGUGAGCUGCAGCAUAGGUCCCAGAUGGGGCUUGGGCUCUGGUGCUGUGAUGGCCAUGGUGUAGGCCUCGGCUGCAGCUCCAGUUCAACUCCUGGCCUGGGAACUUCCAGAUGCUGUAGGCUCGGCUCUAAAAAGCAAACAAACAAACAAAAAACGGGAGGAGGAUACACAUCUUGACUUGUAUCAGCGAGCAAGGAGGGGAUAGCAGAGAAGAACUUGAACUGUGAAACUCUGGACAUGUUUCAACCUCCUCAUUGGCAGAGGGGAAUAAUAUCAGCGAGUGACAGCAUAUACGAGAGCACCUAACACUGGAUACACCGACUGCGAGCACAGCAUCCCUGCUCGCUGGCUCCCCCGCCUUUCGUUCUGAGUCGGACGUCUUGCUUUCCGACCCAGACACCUCCACUGUUGUUGAGCCCGAAGUUCUUGCCCACGAUGUUCCUCACCUUGACGUCGACCUCUGCCAUCUUACGAGAGAGGAUUUCAGGGGCUUUUGAACCCAUGAAGAGCCAGACCAUCUCAGCAAAGAUGAAGGCACCUGCAUAAAGCUCCCACGGAAAAUUAGGAGCCAUGAUUUUCAUCAGCAUCAACAGCAAAAUGACUAAUGAGUCUGAGCAAGUGGAGUAUUCACGCUCUGAUCUAACCCUUCAAACUGGCCUGCCCAGCACAAACAUAGCAUAUCCUCAGCCCAAUCCUAUUCGCCCGAGGAGGCUCCAUUUGAAAUCGACCCCUUAAGGAUUUCAGGACAAAAGUGCAAUUCUGCCCUGGCGAAGUAUUGCAAGAUCUGCAAACCAAGCACUUAACACACCCCGUGUUUUAACCUAUCUGUAGAAAGAAGACAGCCAGGGGGGGCUGGGGGCGGCGCAGCUGGGGUGGUUGUCUCUUUUAGAGGCAGCAUCGCUCCUGCUUUAUUUCUAUAACACACCUUCAUUACCCCUACCUGCUGCCGCAUGUGGAUCAGAACAGAUGGCAGUUGCUUUUGUUAAUUCAUGGGGUUAAAAAAAAAAGGUAGUGGAAACGGUGGGCGUGGUCACAAAGUGACCCUAAGACAACCCAGGCACAUAAUAAGCUAAGCUCAGUACAGGCAGCUGGAAAGAAAUGAAAUGCAGAUGAUGCAGAUCUGCUCUGACCUGCUCACAUGAGGUGGGGGAAGUCUGGGUGGGUCCAGGAACAAGGAGAUGAGAGAAGAAACCUGCAGAAAUCACUGGAAAAUGAGGGCCUUUCAGAUAAUGGUUACCUCCAAGAGAAUGAAGACACCGACUGGGGCAGGAAAGAACCUUCUGGGGAUGAUGGAAAUAUAAAUAUCCAAGUGUAUAUUUUGAUCUGGGUAGCAUUUGCACAGAUGUACAUCUGUGAAAAUUCACCAAGCUCAUGCAUUGAAGAUCUGUGCUCUUUAUUGGGUGCAAACUAUAUCUCACUUAAAAAGUAUGGGAGGGGGAGUUCCCAUUGUGGCUCAGUGGGUUAAGACCCUCACUGCAGCAGCUCCAGUCACUGCGGAGGCACGGGUUCCAUCCCCCAGCCUGGCACAGUGGGUUAAAGGAUCCUGUGUUGCCGUAGCUGCAGCUGGAAUUCAACCCCUGGCCCAGGAACUUUGAUGUGCAUCGGGUGCGGGCAUUUAAAAAGAAAGUAUUUUUUGAAUGAUUAACGUACCCAUGUGCAGGCCUAAAGGAAGACUCGGGCCUUGCUGCUGCCAGCCAUGUCAACUGGCACAGCCCUUUUGGAAAGCCAUUUGCCACCAUGUAUCAAGAGCCUGAAAAUAGAUUCAGAACCUUUGACUCCGUCAUUCCAUCUCCGGGCGUCACUCCCAAGGAAGUCAUCUGCAAUGCGAGUGUCUAUAUGCAGGACGGAGGCAGAUAAACAACUGGGAAUAAGAGAUGCUUGUUUGUGGGUGACUAGGUUAUGUUCCUUCUGUGAUCGUCAGGUUACAAAACCAGGAUAGGGAACCUCGUUGGUACAUCAUGACUUGUCCCGACAAAAGAAACAGAAGAAAAGUGACAGCAACCACACCGUUGUAACAAUGUUUAUGUCGUGAUGAUGGAAUUUCAGGUGAUUUGAGUCUCUGUCCUAAAGUUGUCUUAGAAUCACUUUGUGUCUGUGUACAGCAUAUCCACUGCCUGUGUUUUCAAUGAAAUAUGUGUGUGUGUGUAUGUGUGUGUGGUGUGUGUGUAUUUGUGUGUGUAUAAUUUCUUUUAAUCAGAGGAUAGGGACCCUAGAGGGUCAUAAUG
rnacentral:lncRNA from 1 species